GUCAAAUGUGAAUGUGCCAAUGUUUAUGAACUAUAAAGCUUUUCCAAAUCCGUGCAUUAUUGUCUGACUUGAUUUUGCCAUGGUAAAAACCCCAAUACAAGUGCAGCACACUAAAUUAGACUGGCUAUGAGCAGCACAGGGUGUGUAAUAUCCGUGGUAGCCUUCUGAAUACAUUAGUGUCUGGCAGCAGAAUUAAUUAAAUUGGUAUCAAAGAUAACUCUAUUGCUUCAUAUCUUGCAGUGAGUAAGGAAAAACCCUUCAAUGAGUUUAAGAUCCCCUCAGGAACACGAAUGUCAUUGGGAACUAAUAGUUGCUAAAGCAGGCCUGUGCAAAACUCGGUGAGAUUUAAAAAGAGCAUCACUCAGUCAGUGGGACACGGCUAUUAAUUCCCAGUGCUCAGGUGUCCAGCUAAAACCCUGCCUGGAACUGAUCAACCACCUCCAAGGAAGCGCCUGAGAGCGUGCUGAUAACAAUUCUGACACCUGGUCAGCAGAAAAAUUGUGACCACAAGAAGGACCCUUAGGUGCUCCUAAGAGAGUGAAGAAAUUUGGAGUGGACAGAAGUGAUUUACUCAUGCACAAGCAGGGAAGUGGAAGGGAAGCUUUAAAGGGGCAAAAUGAAAAAGGUGCCUUCAAGGAGAGAUUUAGAUCUUGUCCCUGAACCAAGUUUAAAGAACAGUCAUAAUGGAGGGUGAGUGGGAUGGGUUUGUUGUGCAUGCAGUGAUUAUUAUCUGAUGGGCUGAGUGUCCUUCUCUAGAGAAACUUUCACAAAAGCUGAGUUGAGUGAAAGGUGGUCGGGAGAGCAGGCAAAGCACGAAAUACCUUUACCACACAUUAACUCUGCAUUUAUGCCUCUUUUUACCUGGAACAUCUGGUUGUGCUUUUUG
rnacentral:lncRNA from 1 species